rnacentral:tRNA from 1 species
GGUGAUAUAGCUAAGCUGGUAGAGUGCUUGCCUCACAUGCACAAGGCCCUAGGUUCAAUCCCCAGCAUUGUCA